GACAGCCAUGACUAUGUUUUCCGACUGAGUGGAGCCGUUAUAAAAGGCUAUGAACAGGAUGUGGGGACCCGGACGUCCUUCUAUGGCUUCACUGCCUUCUCCCUGGUCCAGUCAAUCCUCACACUGGGCAGUCGGGGCUUCCAGCAUGUGCCUCUGGGACAGGUGAGAAGAGGGGGAAUGGGCGUGGCCACACAGCCUCUGGGAAAGGUGAGAAGAGAGGAAUGGGCGUGGCCACACAGCCUCUGGUUAAGGUGAGAAGAGGGGGAAUGGGCGUGGCCACACAGCCUCUGCAGGAGGGAGUGACAGAGAGGUGAAUGCCUUGUGUGUGGAUGGAAUCUGGGUCGCCAUAGGAGGACAAGUCAGUGGGAACGGUCACUCAGGCCACAGCAUAGCCAGGGGACAGUCUGGAACCGAGCGGUGUCACGCCCAGCCCACGGUCCCCAGCACAGCACUGCUGAACCACUUGCUGUCCUUGGUCUUCAGGACGUCCGGUACCUACACUUCCUGGAGGGCACUCGAGACUACGAGUGGCUAGAAGCCAUGUUUUUGAACCAGACCAUGGCCAAAACCAAACUUCACUGGUUCAGGCACAGGCCCCAGGAAGCUUUCCGGGACGCCUUGGACAUGGACAGGUACCUCUUGCUGCACCCAGACUUUAUCCGUUACAUGAAGAACAGGUGAGGGCUGAAAGCCCACGGAGGGGCUGUGCCCUCUCGGCCUCGCUGUCUCCUGACAGUGCGCAUCUGCGUAUUUUGAGCAGGUUUCUGAGGUCAAAGACCCUAAACACUGCCCACUGGAGAAUAUACCGCCCCACCACUGGUGCCCUCUUGCUGCUGACAGCCCUCCAUCUCUGUGACCAGGUAAGGUUGUGGAGCUCAGCUCAGGGGGUGGCUGAAAACCUCCAAUGGGAAUGUGGAGUGGGAUGGGCAUGCAUGUGUCUCCGGGGAACCUGCAUGCAGACCCCUGGGGACAGAACCAGGAUAAAGGAUAAAGGGGCUUCCUAUGACAGAAGCCCCAGGACACAGCCAGGGCAGUUCCAGCUCCUCCCCCAUCUCUAUGCAGGUGAGUGCCUAUGGCUUCAUCACCCAGGGCCACGAGCGCUUCUCUGACCACUAUUAUGAUAAGACGUGGCAACGCCUGAUCUUUUACAUAAACCAUGACUUCCAGUUAGAGAAAACAGUAUGGAAACAGCUUCAUGAUGAAGGCAUCAUCCGGCUGUACCAGCGUCCAGAGAACCCGAAAGAGAAGAACUGACCAGCUCGUCUUCAGGACUCUCCUGAUCAUGCACACCAUAGGGUGGCAGGGCUCCUCCGGUGUCCCCAUCCAUCUCCCAGGACUCAAACAGGUUCCAAGCCCUUGGAGAGUCCCAAGGAACAGCUGUGAGGAGCCAGAGGAUUGGGAGCUCUCUGGGAAUUCAUUACUAGCUCAAACCACACACAUAGACACCAACAAUGCAUUUCAUGUUACCUUACUUUUCAUACUCUGUCUUCGGUACUCUGGGAUCUAAAAUGACACUAAAGAAAACAAACAAACAAACAAACAAACACCCCACCAACAGCAAAACCUUUUAGAUGUAAUGUACCAAAGAGCCUGGGAGUGGCUUAGAUAGUGCAGUAGCGACUCCAGCCGACAGGGGGCGGCAGAGGAGCGCCAGAGCGCUCAUUGCCUCCCCUUGUGGAGAGAAGAGGAGUCACAUGACAAGUGUGAGUCCGGGGAAAUUUGGGAUGGAUAGAGCCCCAUGGCCUGCUUUGGAGUAAUGUCUCUGGGCAGCGUUUCUGCAGAGUGGAGCCGAUCCAUCGCUCCAAAGCACAAUCGGGUGCAGGGCUGAGCAGGACGAAGUGGCCUAGGGCAAUGCAAGCGUCGAGGGCAGCUCGAGAUGCAGCUGGGCAGGACACAGGGCAUUGCCCUUAGGUGACCUCCAAGGAGGAUGCCUGAAGGGUGCAUUUGUCGGGGGUCGACCCUUUCCCUGUGUUCUGUUCUGAGCAGCUCUCGGACCAGCAGGUGGUGUUGGGAGAGGGUGCUGCGGGGACCACCACUGCUGCUUUUCAGGUCUGCAGAGCGACAGUUGCUGCCCCUGCUGCCCUGUCACUACAGUUCUGCGGGGCUGGUCUCCACAUUCACUGAACAGGAGAGAAAACAACACAGGUGCAGGAAAGUCCUUUGCCCAAGUUGGUCCCAAGUCCAAGUCGGCCCCAGGUCAACUCAGCCUAGCUUAGGUUCAUUUUGUGGCUUCACCCUGCCUGCAUCGUACAGUUAACCCCUCUGGAGGAGCAGAGAGGAUUGGGGUUCCAGCUUGCCCAGGAGGCACAACGUCUAGGUCCCAAUCCAACAAGAGAAAAUGAAAUUGAAGUAGUAAUAAUAAUAACCAGGGCUACAGAGAAAGCUCACGGGUUAAGAGCGCACACUGCUCUUCCAGAGGACCUGAUUUUGGAUCCCAGCACCCAGUUAGGCAUCCACAGCUGCCUGGAACUCCAAACCCAGGGGAUUCGCUGCCUCUUUCUGCGCUUUGUGGCACCUGCACUCACGUGUACAUUCCUACACAAGGACACAUGUGGACACACAAUUAAAAAGAUAAACCUUGUGGGG